GACGAACGCUGGCGGCGUGCCUAAUACAUGCAAGUCGAACGCACUCUCGUUUAGAUUGAAGGAGUUUGUUCCUGAUUGAUAAACAUUUGAGUGAGUGGCGGACGGGUGAGUAACACGUGGGUAACCUGCCCUAAAGUGGGGAUAACAUUUGGAAACAGAUGCUAAUACCGCAUAAAACCUAACACCGCAUGGUGUAGGGUUGAAAGAUGGUUUCGGCUAUCACUUUAGGAUGGACCCGCGGUGCAUUAGUUAGUUGGUGAGGUAAAGGCUCACCAAGACCGUGAUGCAUAGCCGACCUGAGAGGGUAAUCGGCCACACUGGGACUGAGACACGGCCCAGACUCCUACGGGAGGCAGCAGUAGGGAAUCUUCCACAAUGGACGAAAGUCUGAUGGAGCAACGCCGCGUGAGUGAAGAAGGUUUUCGGAUCGUAAAACUCUGUUGUUGGGGAAGAAUGUAUCUGAUAGUAACUGAUCAGGUAGU
rnacentral:rRNA from 1 species